UUUUCGGAUGGAAUUUAAUUGACUGAGUGGCGGACGGGUGAGUAACGCGUGGAUAACCUGCCUCACACUGGGGGAUAACGCACCGAAAGGUGCACUAAUACCGCAUAAGACCACGUUUCUGACAUGGGAAUGAGGUCAAAGGAGCAAUUCGGUGGAAGAUGGGCUCGCGUCUGAUUAGCUAGUUGGUGAGGUAACGGCCCACCAAGGCGACGAUCAGUAGCCGACCUGAGAGGGUGAUCGGCCACAUUGGAACUGAGAGACGGUCCAAACUCC
rnacentral:rRNA from 1 species